rnacentral:tRNA from 1 species
GAGGGUACAGCUCAGUUGGUAGAGUGCUUGCUUAGCAUGCAUGAGGUCCUGGGUUCGAUCCCCAGUGCCUCCA